GAUGAACGCUAGCGGCAGGCUUAACACAUGCAAGUCGAGGGGCAGCACGAUGUAGCAAUACAUGGGUGGCGACCGGCGCACGGGUGCGUAACACGUAUGGAAUCUGCCCUUUACUGGGGGAUAGCCCGGAGAAAUCCGGAUUAAUACCCCAUAACAAUCGAGGUGGCAUCACCUUGAUUUGAAAGCUCCGGCGGUAAAGGAUGACCAUGCGCACGAUUAGCUAGUUGGUGAGGUAACGGCUCACCAAGGCUACGAUCGUUAGGGGGCCUGAGAGGGUUAUCCCCCACACUGGUACUGAGACACGGACCAGACUCCUACGGGAGGCAGCAGUGAGGAAUAUUGCGCAAUGGAGGCAACUCUGACGCAGCCAUGCCGCGUGCAGGAAGAAGGCGCUACGCGUUGUAAACUGCUUUUAACCGGGAAGAAACCCCAGGACGUGUCCUGGGUUGACGGUACCGGAGGAAUAAGCACCGGCUAACUUCGUG
rnacentral:rRNA from 1 species